rnacentral:rRNA from 1 species
GUCUGAACCAGCCAAGUAGCGUGCAGGAUUGACGGCCCUAUGGGUUGUAAACUGCUUUUGUUGGGGAGUAAAGUGAGGCACGCGUGCCUUUUUGCAUUUACCCUUCGAAUAAGGACCGGCUAAUUCCGUGCCAGCAGCCGCGGUAAUACGGAAGGUCCAGGCGUUAUCCGGAUUUAUUGGGUUUAAAGGGAGUGUAGGCGGUCUGUUAAGCGUGUUGUGAAAUUUAGGUGCUCAACAUCUAACUUGCAGCGCGCACUGGCGGACUUGAGUGCACGCAACGUAUGCGGAAUUCGUGGUGUAGCGGUGAAAUGCUUAGAUAUCAUGACGAACUCCGAUUGCGAAGGCAGCGUACGGGAGUGUUACUGACGCUUGAGCUCGAAGGUGCGGGUAUCGAACAGGAUUAGAUACCCUGGUAGUCCGCACGGUAAACGAUGGAUGCCCGCUGUUAGCGCCUGGCGUUAGCGGCUAAGCGAAAGCAUUAAGCAUCCCACCUGGGGAGUACGCCGGCAACGGUGAAACUCAAAGGAAUUGACGGGGGCCCGCACAAGCGGAGGAACAUGUGGUUUAAUUCGAUGAUACGCGAAGAACCUUACCCGGGC